GCGAGUGUACGAGUGGUCUAAGGCGCUGGUUUUAGUCACCAGUCUCUCAUGAUGCAAGGGUACGAAUCCCUUCACUGUCA
rnacentral:tRNA from 1 species